GUCGACGGCCAUACCACCCCGAACGCACCCAAUCUCGUCUGAUCUUGGAAGCUAAGCAGGGUCAGGCCUGGUUAAUACUUGGAUAGGAGACUGCCUGGGAAGACCAGGUGCUGUAGGCU